rnacentral:rRNA from 1 species
UACGAAGGGUGCAAGCGUUACUCGGAAUUACUGGGCGUAAAGGGUGCGUAGGUGGUUUGUUAGGUCUGCUGUGAAAUCCCCGGGCUCAACCUGGGAAUGGCAGUGGAUACUGGCAAGCUAGAGUGCGGUAGAGGGUAGUGGAAUUCCCGGUGUAGCAGUGAAAUGCGUAGAGAUCGGGAGGAACACCAGUGGCGAAGGCGGCUACCUGGACCAGCACUGACACUGAAGCACGAAAGCGUGGGGAGCAAACAGG